UAUGUGUUAUUAUCGUAGGCCUAAUGUAUUGCCUCCUGAGAUCCUAAAAUGUGUCCUUGAACCGUUGAUUGUACAACAAUAUUGGGGUUUUGGUAUAUUUUGCUUAUAAAGCCUUCUUUAGAAAAGAGAAGAAAUUGUGUAAUCAGUAGGCCUAGUCUGCAAUACAAAAUGUCUAACAGGUCGUUUUUCACGUGAUAAUAAGGUUGUGAUCAAAUACACUGCAGAAGAUGCAUGUUGUUCAAUGACUGCAAAGGCAAAUAAAUGAAGAAUUCGAAACACGUGUUGACUAAUCUUGAUUUAGUGUUUUUGUACUCCUCCUGCAACUACAAGUUGUGAUGUCACACCUUUUUACUGCGGCUUGUCUGGAACAACCCGCCUAACAAGGUGGUAUCCUGCCGACUCAACUGCUGGCUUCGUGAACCAGGGUCAUUGUUUAAUUUGUAGGGCAGGGAAGGGAAGCCGUAGGUAAAACACACACACACGAAUGCAAGCGGUGAUCUAGGAGUUCCUGGUGCUCGUGUGGUUCCCUUUUCUUCUCUUCGAGCGGUUCCUGCUUGGAUUCGGAUAUCGUCCGUCAGUUGGGUCGCAACUUUUUCCGAGUCUGAACGACACAACUCAGGCAAAAUACAUCCCACAAUGCCAAGCACUGUGCCCUUCCCAGCAACCUCUGAGGCACCCAUUUAUACCACAUCUGUGGCAUCUACUUACACAAAAGCGUCUGUGGUACCGACAACAUUACCUCCAGAUGAGACGGAUUCUGCCAUUAUUGCCGUUGUGGUGGUUCUGGUGCUGCUGACGCUGGGUGCUGCGGUCUUCUUGUUCUACCGAUACCUAUGCCACAACAAGGGGGCCUACAGGACGACGGGCGAGCCGGCACCUGGAGAAGACCUGGACCAGGUCUACAACGACACUGUGGCACCCAUCAAGAAGGAGUACUUCAUCUGAUGGGAGGCUCACUCCGCUAUGAACUGGUUAUCUGACCUAGCUGGCCCACAAAGGGGGGCAGGAAGCUGACAGGAAAGGGUGGGAUGUACUAUGCUAUGUGUGGUGGAAUCCGGCCCAGAUUAUGAAGAGGUGGGAGGAAUUUUGCCUGAGUUGGUCAGUGAAGGCACAUUGAAUUAUAGAAGGUGCCAUUGUUUGUAAGUUUGGCCUGUUAAUGUUGUGUUGCUGGUCUUUUUUUUUCGGUGCUUUUUAUACAAGGGCUUACUGAGUUUUGCGUUAUUAUGAGGAAUAAUGGAUUUGUAGUGAAGAAAGGAAAAACCUAUAAUUGUGUAGGUGACUUGAUUGCUUACUUUUUUGCACUCCUCUUUUGCAGUAUCCUUCAUUUGUUUGUAUCAAAACAAAUGAUGUUCCAACAUUAUAUGGUGUUUUAAUUAAGAAACUUUUUUGGUCACCUAGACAUCUGAGAAGGAACAAUUAGACCAGGUUUCUUUUUAUGUUAAUGAAGCAAAGCUGUGUGGUUAAGCUUGUAAAUCACUAUUUAUUUUACAGUUUUUUUUCCCCCUGUUGUAUAUUGUAAGGACAAUCGCUUUACGGUCAGUGUUUUCUCUUCUGGCUUCACUAAUUUUGCACAUGCCUCCAAUCAAAAGAAUGAGGGAUAUUUUGUUGGCCGUAAUGUAUCAAUAAUGGGGAUAGAGGGGCAGUCCAAGAACGGUUGCAAACUAGGCUAAGUUAACCCGAAGCUAGUCACUCUACAAUCUACCAGCAGGUUUUAUAACUUUCCCCUCUCUCUAGGUCAACUAAGCCAGGGUUAUCGCUUAACCAUGUUCUUGGACAACCCCCCCCCCCACUUUAUGGAUUUGGAUAUGUAGGAUGCCUGAGUUACUGACAUAGGAAAUAGGAAAUGUGAAUCUUUGAACCAUUUUAUUUUUUGUCAUUUAUGUAUGUUCAUGUGAAUUUGUCAAUGUUUUAUACUGCAGAUGUGACCACACAUGACAGUACUGUAAAUAUGUUCACAUGAAG